rnacentral:rRNA from 1 species
UAGGGAAUCUUCCGCAAUGGACGCAAGUCUGACGGAGCAACGCCGCGUGAGUGAAGAAGGAUUUCGGUUCGUAAAACUCUGUUGUUAGAGAAGAACAGCGCAUAGAGUAACUGUUAUGCGUGUGACGGUAUCUAACCAGAAAGCCACGGCUAACUACGUGCCAGCAGCCGCGGUAAUACGUAGGUGGCAAGCGUUAUCCGGAAUUAUUGGGCGUAAAGAGCUUGUAGGCGGUUCGUCGCGUCUGGUGUGAAAGCCCAUCGCUUAACGGUGGGUUUGCGCCGGGUACGGGCGGGCUAGAGUGCAGUAGGGGAGACUGGAAUUCUCGGUGUAACGGUGGAAUGUGUAGAUAUCGGGAAGAACACCAAUGGCGAAGGCAGGUCUCUGGGCUGUUACUGACGCUGAGAAGCGAAAGCGUGGGGAGCGAACAGG